rnacentral:rRNA from 1 species
AGACCCGAAACCCGGUGAUCUAGCCAUGGGCAGGUUGAAGGUUGGGUAACACUAACUGGAGGACCGAACCGACUAAUGUUGAAAAAUUAGCGGAUGACCUGUGGCUGGGGGUGAAAGGCCAAUCAAACCGGGAGAUAGCUGGUUCUCCCCGAAAGCUAUUUAGGUAGCGCCUCGUGAAUUCAUCUCCGGGGGUAGAGCACUGUUUCGGCUAGGGGGCCAUCCCGGCUUACCAACCCGAUGCAAACUGCGAAUACCGGAGAAUGUUAUCACGGGAGACACACGGCGGGUGCUAACGUCCGUCGUGAAGAGGGAAACAACCCAGACCGCCAGCUAAGGUCCCAAAGUCAUGGUUAAGUGGGAAACGAUGUGGGAAGGCCCAGACAGCCAGGAUGUUGGCUUAGAAGCAGCCAUCAUUUAAAGAAAGCGUAAUAGCUCACUGGUCGAGUCGGCCUGCGCGGAAGAUGUAACGGGGCUAAACCAUGCACCGAAGCUGCGGCAGCGACACUCAGGUGUUGUUGGGUAGGGGAGCGUUCUGUAAGCCUGUGAAGGUGGCCUGUGAGGGUUGCUGGAGGUAUCAGAAGUGCGAAUGCUGACAUAAGUAACGAUAAAGCGGGUGAAAAGCCCGCUCGCCGGAAGACCAAGGGUUCCUGUCCAACGUUAAUCGGGGCAGGGUGAGUCGACCCCUAAGGCGAGGCCGAAAGGCGUAGUCGAUGGGAAACGGGUUAAUAUUCCCGUACUUGGUGUUACUGCGAAGGGGGGACGGAGAAGGCUAUGUUGGCCGGGCGACGGUUGUCCCGGUUUAAGCGUGUAGGUGUGUGUUCCAGGUAAAUCCGGUUCACUUUAACACUGAGGCGUGACGACGAGGCACUACGGUGCUGAAGCAACAAAUGCCCUGCUUCCAGGAAAAGCCUCUAAGCAUCAGGUAACACGAAAUCGUACCCCAAACCGACACAGGUGGUCAGGUAGAGAAUACCAAGGCGCUUGAGAGAACUCGGGUGAAGGAACUAGGCAAAAUGGUGCCGUAACUUCGGGAGAAGGCACGCUGACACGUAGGUGAAGUGAUUUACUCAUGGAGCUGAAGUCAGUCGAAGAUACCAGCUGGCUGCAACUGUUUAUUAAAAACACAGCACUGUGCAAACACGAAAGUGGACGUAUACGGUGUGACGCCUGCCCGGUGCCGGAAGGUUAAUUGAUGGGGUCAGCGCAAGCGAAGCUCCUGAUCGAAGCCCCGGUAAACGGCGGCCGUAACUAUAACGGUCCUAAGGUAGCGAAAUUCCUUGUCGGGUAAGUUCCGACCUGCACGAAUGGCGUAAUGAUGGCCAGGCUGUCUCCACCCGAGACUCAGUGAAAUUGAACUCGCUGUGAAGAUGCAGUGUACCCGCGGCAAGACGGAAAGACCCCGUGAACCUUUACUAUAGCUUGACACUGAACAUUGAGCCUUGAUGUGUAGGAUAGGUGGGAGGCUUUGAAGUGUGGACGCCAGUCUGCAUGGAGCCGACCUUGAAAUACCACCCUUUAAUGUUUGAUGUUCUAACGUGGACCCGUGAUCCGGGUUGCGGACAGUGUCUGGUGGGUAGUUUGACUGGGGCGGUCUCCUCCUAAAGAGUAACGGAGGAGCACGAAGGUUGGCUAAUCCUGGUCGGACAUCAGGAGGUUAGUGCAAUGGCAUAAGCCAGCUUGACUGCGAGCGUGACGGCGCGAGCAGGUGCGAAAGCAGGUCAUAGUGAUCCGGUGGUUCUGAAUGGAAGGGCCAUCGCUCAACGGAUAAAAGGUACUCCGGGGAUAACAGGCUGAUACCGCCCAAGAGUUCAUAUCGACGGCGGUGUUUGGCACCUCGAUGUCGGCUCAUCACAUCCUGGGGCUGAAGUAGGUCCCAAGGGUAUGGCUGUUCGCCAUUUAAAGUGGUACGCGAGCUGGGUUUAGAACGUCGUGAGACAGUUCGGUCCCUAUCUGCCGUGGGCGCUGGAGAACUGAGGGGGGCUGCUCCUAGUACGAGAGGACCGGAGUGGACGCAUCACUGGUGUUCGGGUUGUCAUGCCAAUGGCACUGCCCGGUAGCUAAAUGCGGAAGAGAUAAGUGCUGAAAGCAUCUAAGCACGAAACUUGCCCCGA